rnacentral:rRNA from 1 species
GAUGAACGCUGGCGGCGUGCCUAAUACAUGCAAGUCGAGCGAACGGACGAGAAGCUUGCUUCUCUGAUGUUAGCGGCGGACGGGUGAGUAAAACGUGGAUAACCUACCUAUAAGACUGGGAUAACUUCGGGAAACCGGAGCUAAUACCGGAUAAUAUUUUGAACCGCAUGGUUCAAAAGUGAAAAACGGUCUUGCUGUCACUUAUAGAUGGAUCCGCGCUGCAUUAGCUAGUUGGUAAGGUAACGCCUUACCAAGGCAACGAUGCAUAGCCGACCUGAGAGGGUGAUCGGCCACACUGGAACUGAGGAACGGUCCAGACUCCGACGGGAGGCAGCAGUAGGGAAUCUUCCGCAAUGGGGGAAAGCCUGACGGAGCAACGCCGCGUGAGUGAUGAAGGUCUUCGGAUCGUAAAACUCUGUUAUUAGGGAAGAACAUAUGUGUAAGUAACUGUGCACAUCUUGACGGUACCUAAUCAGAAAGCCACGGCUAACUACGUG